rnacentral:rRNA from 1 species
CGAUGUCGGCUCUUCCCAUCCUGGCCCUGCAUAAGGGGCCAAGGGUGAGGCUGCUCGCCUAUUAAAGGGGAACGUGAGCUGGGUUUAGACCGUCGUGAGACAGGUCGGACUUUAUCUGCUGGGAGUGCUGGCUGCCUGAGGGGAAAGGGUCCCCAGUACGAGAGGAACGGGACGCUGUGGCCUCUAGUUAACCGGUUGUCCGACAGGGCAGACGCCGGGCAGCCACGCCGCCGGGGAUAAGGGCUGAAAGCAUCUAAGCCCGAAGCCCCUCCCGAAAAUAGGC